UACAGAGGUCUCAAGCGUUGUUCGGAAUCACUGGGCGUAAAAGGGGUGCGUAGGCCGCACGGUAAGUCAGAGGUGAAAUCCCGGAGCUCAACUUCGGAACUGCCUUUGAUACUGGCAAUCUAGAGUCCGGAAGAGGUUAGUGGAAUUCCCCAGUGUAGAGGUGAAAUUCGUAGAUAUUGGGAAGAACACCAGUGGCGAAGGCGCUAACUGGUCCGGUACUGACGCUGAGGUGCGAAAGCGUGGGGAGCAAACAGG
rnacentral:rRNA from 1 species